GACGAACGCUGGCGGCGUGCUUAACACAUGCAAGUCGAACGAAGAGCGAUGGGAGCUUGCUUCUAUCAAUCUUAGUGGCGAACGGGUGAGUAACGCGUAAUCAACCUGCCCUUCAGCGGGGGACAACAGUUGGAAACGACUGCUAAUACCGCAUACGAUCUAACCUCGGCAUCGAGGAAGGAUGAAAGGUGGCCUCUAUUUAUAAGCCAUCACUGAAGGAGGGGAUUGCGUCUGAUUAGCUAGUUGGAGGGGUAACGGCCCACCAAGGCGAUGAUCAGUAGCCGGUAUGAGAGGAUGAACGGCCACAUGGGGACUGAGACGCGGCCCAGACUCCUACGGGGGGCAGCAGUGGGGAAUCUUCCGCAAUGGACGAAAGUCUGACGGAGCAACGCGGCGUGAGUGAUGACGGCCUUCGGGUUGUACAGCUCUGUUACUCGGGACGAAAGGCCUUCUUGCGAAUAGUUAGAAGGAUUGACGGUACCGGAAUAGAAAGCCACGGCUAACUACGUG
rnacentral:rRNA from 1 species